ensembl:lncRNA
CGGAGGAACACCAGGAGGGGUUCGCGGUAUCUCGGAAGCUGCUCAGAGGACCAGCCACAAAGUCUGGUGUUUCUUUGACACUCGGCUCUGAGGGGAUCUUCCCAACCCAGGGAUCAAAGCUUGUUUCCUGCCUGGCAGGUGUAUUCUUUACCACUGAGCCACCUGGGAGGCCCUCUGAAAGUAAGCAGAAUCAUACAAAUGGUAUGAUUUAGCAUAAUAUCCUUAAGAUUUAUCCAUAUUGUAGCAUAUAUCAGAAUGUCAUUUCAUUUUAAUGGCUGAAUAAUAUUCCAUUGUAUGUAUAUACUGCAUUGGUUCUAUCCAUUCAUCUGUUGAUGGACUUUUGUGUUGAUUCCAUCUUUUUAAUUCUUUUUAAUGGCUGUUUAGUAUUCUGUUCUAUGGUGGCAUACUGUAUAAACCAGCUCUCCAGUGAUGAGGAUCAGGUUAUUUCCGUAUUUCAGUGAAUAAUUUUCAUAGUUUUUCAGAAGAAAGUACAUCUAUUCUCACAAUGUGCUUUAAUGUUAUUUAGGACUUACUCAUCUUUCAAAAGUGGGUGCACUAACACUAGAUGAUGUAUAACUCAGGAUGUACUAAAAAAAUAACCAGAAAAUACCAGGCUUUCACUCUUGAGAGUGCAAGGAGAUCAAACCAGUCAAUCCUAAAGGAAAUCAACCCUGAAUAUGUUGGUGAUGGACAGGGAAGUCUAGUGUGCUGCAGUCCAUGGGGCCUCAAAGAGUCGGACACACCUGAGUGAUUGAACUGAACUGAACAGAUUCACUGGAAGGAUUGAUGCUGAAGCUGAAGCUCCAAUACUUUGGCCACCUGAUGCAAAGAGCUGACUCAUUGGAAAAGACCCUGAUGCUGGGAAAGACUGAGGGCAGAGGAAGGGGACAACAGAGGAUGAGAGGGUUGGAUGGCAUCACCGACCCCAAUGGACAUGAAUUUGAGCAAACUCUGGAAGAUAGUGAAGGGCAGGGCAGCCUGGUGUGCUGCAGUCAAUGGGGUUGCAAAGAGUCAGAUACAACUGAGUGAACAGCAACAACAAAGUGGGCCUUCACACCUGUGCACAGACCAGGGAGAGGUGUUGGCAGGGGUGGUUACAGGUGUGAUGAGGCCUGAAAAGAAUACAAUUGGGGGGAAGCAGUUUCAGAAAAAGAAAGCAAAGUGACCUGUGACCAGAUUGCCAGCACCCCUCAUAGGCCUGGGGAGGGCCCUGCAGCCCCAGAUUCCAUGGCCUCUAGGCACCUGGGACUCUGGAGUGCAGGCUGCACUGGCUGGGUCUCAGGGUCACAGCCAUGUUGACACCAGGGACCCGGGAGCACAUCCAGGGAGUCAGGUGACAGCUAGAGGUCUCAGUGCAAGCCCUGACAUUUCUCCAACAGCAUCCUCACAGGCGAGAAUGAAUGGCUCCUUUAGUUACAGGCCUGUCCGUCAGACCCCCGCCCCAGGUGAUGUCUCAGCACACAUCACCUUGUGCUGCAGACACCCUGCCUCAUGCCGCCCACAAAGAAGCCUAAAGUCAGCAGUGACCCUGACAUCGAAGACACAGUGCAUCGUCUACACCUGUAAUCUCCAAAGUGGGAGUGGGAAUACUCCUCUUAGGUGGGCAGAAAGUGUCAGAACGUGUGUACACACACAGGUACACGUAAAUGCACAUACAUUUAUGUCCAUAGAUGUGCGUAUGCAUGUAUGUCAGAGUGGUGGUGUUUAGUCGCUACGUUCAGUCGCUGUCUGACUUUUUGUGACCCCAUGGACAUCAGCACACCAGGCUUCCCUGUCCUUCACUAUCU